rnacentral:rRNA from 1 species
AUUGAACGCUGGCGGCAUGCCUUACACAUGCAAGUCGAACGGCAGCACGGGUGCUUGCACCUGGUGGCGAGUGGCGAACGGGUGAGUAAUACACCGGAACGUACCUUAUCGUGGGGGAUAACGCAGCGAAAGUUGCGCUAAUACCGCAUACGCCCUGAGGGGGAAAGCGGGGGACCGUAAGGCCUCGCGCGAUUAGAGCGGCCGAUGUCUGAUUAGCUCGUUGGUGAGGUAAAAGCUCACCAAGGCGAUGAUCAGUAGCUGGUCUGAGAGGACGACCAGCCACACUGGGACUGAGACACGGCCCAGACGCCUACGGGAGGCAGCAGUGGGGAAUCUUGGACAAGGGGGGAAACCCUGAUCCAGCAGUGCCGCGUGUGGGAUGAAGGCCCUCGGGUUGUAAACCACUUUUGGCAGGAAAGAAAUCGCCUGUGCUAAUACCACGGGCGGAUGACGGUACCUGCAGAAUAAGCACCGGCUAACUACGUGCCAGCCGCCGCAGUAA